rnacentral:rRNA from 1 species
AGCAGCCGCGGUAAUUCCAGCUCCAAUAGCGUAUAUUAAAGUUGUUGCAGUUAAAAAGCUCGUAGUUGAAUUUCGGGACCAUCAUGUCGGUCGUGCCUCGGUACGUACUGGUAUUGUUGGUUUCUCCCUUCUGACGAACCAUGAUGUCAUUUAUUUGGUGUUGUGGGGAAUCAGGACUGUUACUUUGAAAAAAUUAGAGUGUUUAAAGCAGGCUCACGCUUGAAUACAUUAGCAUGGAAUAAUGAAAUAGGACGUUUGAUUCUAUUUUGUUGGUUUCUAGGAUCGACGUAAUGAUUAAUAGGGAUAGUUGGGGGCAUUAGUAUUCAAUUGUCAGAGGUGAAAUUCUUGGAUUUAUUGAAGACUAACUACUGCGAAAGCAUUUGCCAAGGAUGUUUUCAUUAAUCAAGAACGAAAGUUAGGGGAUCGAAGACGAUCAGAUACCGUCGUAGUCUUAACCAUAAACUAUGCCGACUAGGGAUCGGAUGAUGUUAAUUUUUAAUGACUCAUUCGGCGCCUUAAC